GACGAACGCUGGCGGCGUGCUUAACACAUGCAAGUCGAACGGUAAGGCCCUUCGGGGUACACGAGUGGCGAACGGGUGAGUAACACGUGGGUGAUCUGCCCUGCACUUCGGGAUAAGCCUGGGAAACUGGGUCUAAUACCGGAUAUGACCUCCUUGGGCAUCCUUGGAGGUGGAAAGUUUUUCGGUGAGGGAUGGGCCCGCGGCCUAUCAGCUUGUUGGUGAGGUAGUGGCUCACCAAGGCGACGACGGGUAGCCGGCCUGAGAGGGCGACCGGCCACACUGGGACUGAGACACGGCCCAGACUCCUACGGGAGGCAGCAGUGGGGAAUAUUGCGCAAUGGGCGAAAGCCUGACGCAGCAACGCCGCGUGCGGGAUGACGGCCUUCGGGUUGUAAACCGCUUUCAGCAGGGAAGAAGCCGCAAGGUGACGGUACCUGCAGAAGAAGCACCGGCUAACUACGUGCCAGCCGCCGCGGUAA
rnacentral:rRNA from 1 species